rnacentral:rRNA from 1 species
UACAGAGGGUGCGAGCGUUAAUCGGAAUGACUGGGCGUAAAGGGUGUGUAGGUGGUUUGAUAAGUUAGGUGUGAAAGUCCUGGGCUUAACCUGGGGAGGUCGCUUAAGACUGUCGAGCUAGAGUACUGUAGAGGAAGGUGGAAUUUCCGGAGUAGCAGUGAAAUGCGUAGAUAUCGUAAGGAAGACCAGUGGCGAAGGCGAAUCUCUGGACAGUUACUGACACUGAGGCACGAAGGCCAGGGGAGCAAACGGG